GGUCCUAUAGUCUAGUGGUUAGGACGUUGGAUUUUGAUCACCACUCAAACCCUUCCGAAGUCCCCGGUUCGAACCCGGGUAGGACCU